CUUCAUCCUGGCCCUUCUCUCUUGGGACGCUCACCAUGGAACCUAGCUGAGAGGAAGCCCAGGCAACGUGGUGAUGCCACACAUGGGUAUUCUGCUCAACAGCCCCAGCUAAGGUCCCAGCCAACAGCCAGCUUUGACUACCAGACAUGUGAAUGAAUGAACCUUCAGAUAACUCCAGCCCCACCUUUGAGUCUUUCAGCUGAGCCUCAGACACUAUGGAGCAGACUAACUGUCCUCAAAAUGCCGUGUGUGAAUUCCUGACCUACAGGAACCAUGAAAAUAUUGUCUUGAUUUCUUUCUGUUUGAAGCAACAACAUGCAGACAAGAGAUAUCAACAGUUUUGAAGGAUAGAAAGUAGAUGGACAAGCAAUUUUUUGCAUUUUAAGGAUGGGCUGAUGGCAUCUUGGGAGCUUGGAAAAAGACGAGUGUAAACACCAUGGCAGAACGUCAUUCGAACCUACCAUGUGUAAAUAAUAACCUCCUCAAAUAAACGAGUUA
rnacentral:lncRNA from 1 species